rnacentral:rRNA from 1 species
GACGAACGCUGGCGGCGUGCUUAACACAUGCAAGUCGAACGAAGAGCGAUGGAAGCUUGCCUCUCUCAAUCUUAGUGGCGAACGGGUGAGUAACGCGUAAUCAACCUGCCCUUCAGAGGGGGACAACAGUUGGAAACGACUGCUAAUACCGCAUACGAUCUAAUCUCGGCAUCGAGGAUAGAUGAAAGGUGGCCUCUACAUGUAAGCUAUCACUGAAGGAGGGGAUUGCGUCUGAUUAGCUAGUUGGAGGGGUAACGGCCCACCAAGGCGAUGAUCAGUAGCCGGUCUGAGAGGAUGAACGGCCACAUUGGGACUGAGACACGGCCCAGACUCCUACGGGAGGCAGCAGUGGGGAAUCUUCCGCAAUGGACGAAAGUCUGACGGAGCAACGCCGCGUGAGUGAUGACGGCCUUCGGGUUGUAAAGCUCUGUUAAUCGGGACGAAAGGCCUUCUUGCGAAUAGUGAGAAGGAUUGACGGUACCGGAAUAGAAAGCCACGGCUAACUACGUG